GGGGAAUUUUGGACAAUGGGGGCAACCCUGAUCCAGCCAUGCCGCGUGAGUGAAGAAGGCCUUCGGGUUGUAAAGCACUUUCAGUCAGGAGGAAGGUGGUGUAGCUAAUAUCUGCACCAAUUGACGUUACUGACAGAAUAAGCACCGGCUAACUACGUGCCAGCAGCCGCGGUAAUACGUAGGGUGCGAGCGUUAAUCGGAAUUACUGGGCGUAAAGCGUGCGCAGGCGGUGCUGUAAGACAGGCGUGAAAUCCCCGGGCUCAACCUGGGAAUUGCGCUUGUGACUGCAGUGCUGGAGUACGGCAGAGGGGGAUGGAAUUCCGCGUGUAGCAGUGAAAUGCGUAGAUAUGCGGAGGAACACCGAUGGCGAAGGCAGUCCCCUGGGCCUGUACUGACGCUCAUGCACGAAAGCGUGGGGAGCAAACA
rnacentral:rRNA from 1 species